rnacentral:misc_RNA from 1 species
ACAAUAUAUAAUAAAAAUCCAUAAAUUUUAUAUCUUGUUUAAAUAUAAACAUAAAUUAUAAAUAUAAAUUAAAUAAAUAGAUAUUUAUAUAUAUAAUUUUAUUUAGAAAUAUUUGCAAAAUAUUAUAAAUAAAAAUAAAUGCAAAAAUUACAUAUGUGAUAAUCACAAAUCAAAAAAAAAAAUAUAAACAUUUAAUAACAUUGAAAACUUAAUAAUAAUAUUAUAAUGAGUAAUAUUAAUCAUGGAUUUGUUGCUGUUCAUGUAGGGGCAGGACGACAUUCAGAAACUCUUAAAGAAAAAUAUCAAAAAUUAUGUCGUCAAGCAUGCAAAGCUGGUAUACAGAAUUUAAAAACUGGUGGUAGUUCAUUAGAUGCUGUAGUAGAAACUGUAAUAGUAUUAGAAAAUUCUCCAUUAACUAAUGCUGGAUUUGGUUCUAAUCUUACAUUAGAAGGAACUGUAGAAUGUGAUGCAAGUGUUAUGGAUGGUACUACAUUGCAAUUUGGAGCUGUUGGUGCAGUUAGUGGAAUAAAAAAUCCUGUUUUAUUGGCAAAACGACUUUGUGAACAUCAAUCAGUUAAGAUUGCAUAUGGUAGAAUUCCACCAAGUUUUCUAGUUGGGAAUGGUGCACAUGUAUGGGCACAAGAAAUGAGAAUCCAAACUUUACCUCCAGAACAAUUAAUUUCAACAAAAGCACAGAAAAUGUAUAAACAUUAUAAAAGAAAAAUAGAAAACUCUAAUGCAGAUGUUCAAAAGUAUACUAAACAAAGAAUGGAUACAGUUGGAGCAAUAUGUGUUGAUAAAGAAGGAAAUAUUGCUGGAGCUUGUUCUAGUGGUGGUAUUAUUUUAAAAUAUCCUGGAAGAGUGGGGCAGGCAGGAAUGUGGGGAUGUGGUACAUGGGCAUAUAAAGAUAAAUAUUCUAUAGGAACAAGCACAUCAGGCUGUGGAGAACAUCUUAUUCGUACUUUACUUGCACGAACAGUUGCAGAAGCUAUUUCGCAUAGUUCUUGUCCUAUUACCAACUUGUAUCAUUCUAUGAAAGCUGAUUUUAUCGGUGAAAACUCAUUCAAAAUUUUUGUGCGGGCUUGAACAGAAACUUGGAGGUGUUAUUGCUAUACGAUAUGCACCACAAGAAGGAUUAGGGGAUUUCCUUUGGAGUCACUCUACAAAUUCAAUGAUAAUAGGUUAUAUGAAUUCAAAUGAACAAACACCAAUGAGUCAUAUGGCUGUUCUUCCAUCUCAUGAAGUUGGUAAGAAAGCAAUCGUUGAAGGAAUUUGUUUUAAAAUCACAUAAUAUAUUAAUGAAUUUAUGAUUUGUGCAAGACAAUAUUACCAUAUUAGAAUAUUACCAUUACAUGUUACCAUAUAAGAAAUUACUUA